CGCACUGGAAGGGCGUCUUUAGGCCAGCUUGGUGGCUAAGGUGGCUGCGGCCCCUGGCCGGGGUUCCACCUGCCGUGCCAACUGCAUGCCGUGGUGCUUCCUGCAGUGCCCCAGCCCGCGGUGCUGGGAGCAAACCAAGACCUAGAGAGAUAGCUGCUGUGAAUGCUGGGACAACACAUGGGAACCUUCCACCAAGUGGGGUGAACACAACACACCCAAGGCUGGUGCAGAGAGGCUCAACAAAGGGUUAGAAAGAAGGCGUGGAGCUGGUAUCCAUCCGGAUUGAGGACAGGGGAAAAGCAAAGGGGGAAAUGGUGAAACUAAGAAGAAGACUGCUUAAACCUAAUAAAGACCAUUUAUGAAAAUCGCCCUUGCUAACAUCGCACUCAAUGGAGAAAGAUGGAGAGGUUCUCCCGAGAGGAUCACUUAGAGGAACAAGGGGGGGGGGGCCACUUUCACCCCUUCUGUUAGAACUGCAAGGAGCUGUCAGAGCAAUUAGGCAAGAAAGAAAAGACACCCAAAUUGGAAAGAAAAAAGAUUAUCUCCAUUGUUGAGGGCCACAGCUGAGUCAGGAUGACGAAUGGCAUAUUGCCAGAAGGGAGUGGUUGAGAGGUAACAGCAGGGAGCCAUUGAGAUAAUGAUGGUUAUAUUAAGCUGUGUAUUCAAUUGUAUAUUUGACCUUUACUGUCCAGGCAAUAGGGAGGCUCUUGCUGCACUUUGGAGUUCCCAUGGAGUUCUCUUGGGGUUCCGAGGGAGAGUGCACACUGACCCUGGUGGAGGGUGAGAGUGUUCCCGGGGAGUGUGUGUGGAGUGCUGGUAGAGUUCGGCAAUAAAGAGUUGCUGUUUUGAACCUA